CAGCCGCCACGGUAAUACGAGGGGGGCAAGCGUUGUUCGGAAUUAUUGGGCGUAAAGGGUGCGUAGGCGGUUUGAUAAGUCAUCUGUGAAAUCUCUGGGCUCAACCCAGAGUCUGCAGGCGAAACUGUCGGGCUUGAGUAUGGGAGAGGUGAGUGGAAUUUCCGGUGUAGCGGUGAAAUGCGUAGAUAUCGGAAGGAACACCUGUGGCGAAAGCGGCUCACUGGACCAUAACUGACGCUGAUGCACGAAAGCUAGGGGAGCAAACAGGAUUAGAUACCCGCGUAGUCCCUGUCUCUUAUAC
rnacentral:rRNA from 1 species